rnacentral:rRNA from 1 species
AUGGCAACAUACGAUGUACUAAACGUCCGAAUAUGCAAUCCUGGGCUACAUAGUUACAUACACAUCACCAAUCUUCAUAGAUCACAUAGGAGAGGGGAGAUUACCUUGAUGCUUGAGGAAGCCAUGGACAGAGGAGGGGAGGAGCAGGCGAUGAAACAGGAAGAAAUAGCAAGCUUGGGGAAGCAAUCUGGAAGACGGCGCCGUUGGCUGGUCGGUGAGGAGGCGGCGAGCUCGGGGGCGGGGGCACUGGCUGCUCCUUGUUGCUGGAUGAGGGGAGGCGAGCGGAUGAGGGAGGCUCCUGGAGGAGGGGAGGCGCUGGCUGGCUGA